GACGAACGCUGGCGGCGUGCUUUACACAUGCAAGUCGAACGGAAAGGCCCUGCUUUUGUGGGGUGCUCGAGUGGCGAACGGGUGAGUAACACGUGAGUAACCUGCCCUUGACUUUGGGAUAACUUCAGGAAACUGGGGCUAAUACCGGAUAGGAGCUCCUGCUGCAUGGUGGGGGUUGGAAAGUUUCGGCGGUUGGGGAUGGGCUCGCGGCUUAUCAGCUUGUUGGUGGGGUAGUGGCUUACCAAGGCUUUGACGGGUAGCCGGCCUGAGAGGGUGACCGGCCACAUUGGGACUGAGAUACGGCCCAGACUCCUACGGGAGGCAGCAGUGGGGAAUAUUGCACAAUGGGCGGAAGCCUGAUGCAGCAACGCCGCGUGCGGGAUGACGGCCUUCGGGUUGUAAACCGCUUUCGCCUGUGACGAAGCGUGAGUGACGGUAAUGGGUAAAGAAGCACCGGCUAACUACGUG
rnacentral:rRNA from 1 species